rnacentral:rRNA from 1 species
UGGGGAAUAUUGGACAAUGGGCGAAAGCCUGAUCCAGCCAUGCCGCGUGUGUGAAGAAGGCCUUUUGGUUGUAAAGCACUUUAAGUGGGGAGGAAAAGCUUAUGGUUAAUACCCAUAAGCCCUGACGUUACCCACAGAAUAAGCACCGGCUAACUCUGUGCCAGCAGCCGCGGUAAUACAGAGGGUGCAAGCGUUAAUCGGAAUUACUGGGCGUAAAGCGCGCGUAGGUGGUUAUUUAAGUCAGAUGUGAAAGCCCCGGGCUUAACCUGGGAACUGCAUCUGAUACUGGAUAACUAGAGUAGGUGAGAGGGGAGUAGAAUUCCAGGUGUAGCGGUGAAAUGCGUAGAGAUCUGGAGGAAUACCGAUGGCGAAGGCAGCUCCCUGGCAUCAUACUGACACUGAGGUGCGAAAGCGUGGGUAGCAAACAGGAUUAGAUACCCUGGUAGUCCACGCCGUAAACGAUGUCUACCAGUCGUUGGGUCUUUUAAAGACUUAGUGACGCAGUUAACGCAAUAAGUANACCGCCUGGGGAGUACGGNCGCAAGGUUA